CCUACUGGAGGCAUCAUUAGGGCAUCUUCCACAAUGGGCGAAAGCCUGAUGGAGCAACGCCGCGUGGGUGAAGAAGGUCUUCGGAUCGUAAAACCCUGUUGUUAGCUCCGCCCGUGCGUGCGCGUCCCUGUUCACGUUUCGACGGUAUCUAACCAGAAAGCCACGGCUAACUACGUGCCCGCCGCCGCGGUACUCCGUCGGUGGCCCGCGUUCUCCGGAUUUAUUGGGCGUCCCGGGCCCGCAGUCUGUGGUUGAAGUCUGAUGUGAAAGCCUUCGGCUUAACCGGAGUAGUGCAUGGGAAACUGGGAGACUUGAGUGCAGAAGAGGAGAGUGGAACUCCAUGUGUAGCGGUGAAAUGCGUAGAUAUAUGGAAGAACACCAGUGGCGAAAGCGGCUCUCUGGUCUGUAACUGACGCUGAGGUUCGAAAGCGUGGGUAGCAAACAGGAUUAGAGACCCCGGUAGUC
rnacentral:rRNA from 1 species